rnacentral:rRNA from 1 species
GUUUUCUUUUCGUACACUAUACUGCAGUGUCUUACGGGAGGCAGCAGUGGGGAAUAUUGGACAAUGGGCGCAAGCCUGAUCCAGCCAUGCCGCGUGAGUGAUGAAGGCCUUAGGGUUGUAAAGCUCUUUCACCGGUGAAGAUAAUGACGGUAUCCGGAGAAGAAGCCCCGGCUAAUUUUGUGCCAGCAGCCGCGGUAAUUCGAAGGGGGCUAGCGUUGUUCGGAUUUACUGGGCGUAAAGCGCAUGUAGGCGGAUCGAUCAGUCAGGGGUGAAAUCCCAGGGCUCAACCGUGGAACUGCAUUUUUAGACUGUCGAUCUGGAGUACGGAAGAGGGGAGUGGAAUUCCGAGAGUAGAGGGGAAAUUCGAAGAUUUUCGGGGGACGCCC